GAACUUCAUCCCUAUAUUAGGGUUAGGGGUGUGUACCAGGGUAGGGUUAGAGUUAGAAAAACAAGGUAUCGUGGCAUGAUUUUGAUGGCUGGAAUGUGUUUCGAAUGGGCAGAAAUGAUGAGCUGUGCAGAAAAAGCUGCUCAGCGAAGAAUUUUUCAAAAUUGCUCAAUUUUCAAUGGAAAUUUACCCCAAUAUGACUGUUAGGAUGUGAAGCAGGGCAGGGUUGGGGUU